GUAUAUUUGUGUUUACCAUAGAGUCACAAUGGCUUCAGCCUUUCGCCUUUCUUUGAAACCAAAGGUCAGUGACAGCAUGACUCACUUAAUGGUGGAUUUCUCUCAGGAAAGACAGAUGCUGCAAACUUUGAAGUUUUUGCCAGGUAAACAGCAUGUAUUACAUGUACAGUUUUUAAUAAAAAUUUUUCCUGCAAUGCUUUUCUGUAAUGAACAUUGGUAUAUUAAAGAAGCAUAGUGUGAUUUUUUUUCUUCAUUCCACUAAAUAUUUAAAUUUGGUAGUCUUUAUUUUUAGAGAAUUAUUUUACUGGUAGUAAAUAUUCUAUUUCAAGAAUACCAUUAAGGAGUAUCAUUUGAUGGUUAACAGUGGGUCUUUAGACCAAACUUUUUUAGAUUUGAAUUUUGCUGUAUACUUGCCAUGUAAUCCUGAACAAGUUAUUUGACUUGCCUCAUUUCUGCUUCUUUAGAAUGUGAUAUUAUUCUAGGGUUUUUGUAAGGAUUAAAUGAAUUGAUACUUCUAAGGCAUUUGUAUAAUAGUAUAUGGCACAUAGUUAAAGCUCAGAGGAUGUUAGCUGUUGGCAUAUUAUGUGAUUGUAUAAAGCUGGAUGGAAUUGCUAAGUUAUCUUAGAGGUCUUUAAAAGGCAUUUUUCAGAUUUUUACUUAAUUUUCAAAAGACAGAUUUAUAUUUGACUGUUCUAGUCUCCAAAAUCAUUAGAAUGAAAUAAUUUUUGUCUUUUCAUUUUACAAAUUAAAUAUAUAUGUAUAUAUAUAUAUAUAAAAACAGCAGAUUGUAUUACAAUUCAUAUUACAUAUACAGCACAAUUUUUCAUAUCUCUGGUUGUAUAUAAAGUAUAUUCACAACAAUUCAUGUCUUCAUACAUGUACUUUAGAUAAUGAUGUCCAUCACAUUCCACCACCUUUUCUAACCCCCUGCCUCCUCCCUUCCCUCCCACCCCUCUGCCCUAUCUAGAGUUCGUCUAUUUCUCCCAUGCUCCCCUUCCCUACCCCACUAUGAAUCAGUCUACUUAUAUCAGAGAAAACAUUUGGCAUUUUUGGGGGGGGAUUGGCUAACUUCACUUAGCAUUAUCUUCUCUAACUGCAUCCAUUCACCUGCAAAUGCCAUGAUUUUAUUCUCUUUUAUUGCCAAGUAAUAUUCCAUUGUAUAUAUAUAUAUGCCACAUUUUUUUUUAUCCAUUUAUCUAUUGAAGGGCAUCUAGGUUGGUUCCACAGUUUAGCUAUUUUGAAUUGUCCUACUAUAAACAUUGAUGUGGCUGUGUCCCUGUAGUAUGCUGUUUUUUCGUAUAGACCAAGGAGAGGGAUAGCUGGGUCAAAUGGUGGUUCCAUUCCCAGUUUUCCAAAGAAUCUCCAUACUGCUUUCCAUAUUGGCUGCACCAAUUCCACCAGCAAUGUAUAAGUGUGCCUCUUCCCCCGCAUCCUCGCCAGCACUUAUUUUUGUUUGUCUUCAUAAUAGCUGCCAUUCUGACAGGAGUGAGAUGAAAUCUUAGAGUAGUUUUAAUUUGCAUUUCUCUAAUUGCUAGAGAUGAUGACAUUUUCUCAUAUAUUUGUUGAUUGUACAUCAGAAGAAAGAUAUACAAAAAUUAACUAAAAUGCAUCAAAGACCUUGCAAUUAGACCAGAAACUAUGCAACUUAUAGAGGAAAGCAAAGGUCAACACUCCAGCAUAAAGGACAGGUAAUGAUUUUUUUCAUUAGGACCCCUAAAGCUUGGGACAUAAUGCCAAGAGUUAAUAAAUGAAAUGGUAUUAAAUUAAAAAGUGCCUGCACAGCAAAGGAAGGAGUAAUGUGAAAAAAGAACCUACAGAAUGGAGGAAAAUCUUUGUUAGCUACAUUUCCGACAGAGAAUUAAUACCUAGAAUAUAUAAAGAACUCAAAAAGGUUUGCACCAAAAAAACCACCUAAUUAAUAAAUGGGCAAAUAAAUUAAACAGAAACUUCAUAAAAGAAGAAAUAAAAUGGCCAUUCACACCAGUCAGAAUGUCAGUCCUCAGGAAUUCAAACAAUAAUAAAUGCUGGAAAGGAUGUGGAGAAAAAGGAACACUUACACUGUUGGUGGGAUUGUAAAUUAGUACAUUCACUAUGGAAAUCAGUAUGGAGGUUCCUCAAAAGACGAGGCAUGGAAGCACCAUACGACCCAGCCACAAUAUUUAUCCCAAAGAAUUAAAGUCAUCAUAGGGAUACAGUCAUACCCAUGUUUUUAUAGCAGCACAAUUCACAAUAGCCAAACUAUGGAACUAGCCCAGGUUCCAUCAACAGCUGAAUGGAUACAGAAAAUGUGGUAUAGAUACACAAUGGAUUUUUAUUCAAUCACAAAAAAUUAUUUAUUUGCAGGAAGAUGGAUGGAAUUUGAAACGAUUAUGCUAAGCAAAAUAAGCCAAAGUCAGAAGAUCAAGGGUCAUGUUUUCUCUCAUAUAUAGAAGCUAGAGAGAAAAAAGGAAAAGAAAGAUAAGGGGUGAUCUCAUGAAAAGCAAAGGGAGACCCGCAGAGUAGAGGAAGGUAGGCCAGCGGGUGAGAGGAGGGGAGGAAAGGGGAAAGCUCUGGGGAAAGAUAUUGAUCAAAUUAUAUUGUAACAACAGAUUCACCAUUAUGUACAAAUACAAUGCACCUGUAAAAAAGAAAAGUAGCUCCUUUUCAUUUCAAACUUGGUUUUCUUCCUAGAACAAUGUAUGAGUGUGCCUUUUCCUCCACAGAGGGUACCACUGUUACUAACAUCUGUUUAUCUUUCCUGAAAUAGUCUAAAUCUAUACAAACAUCACCACAUGUAUAUGCAGAAUCAGGUAGUUGCUAAUAUUUGGCAGUUUUUACCCUCAAAAAGAUAAAUUUGUUUCAUUCAGUCUAAUAUAUAAUCCACCCCCUUUUGAAAAUGGAAGCAUACAUAUACACUGUUAAAUACUUUCUCUUUGCCACUUGACAAUAUGUAGGAGUUCUUUCCAGAUCAUUAUAGAUCUACUUCAUUUUUAAAAAAAUAACUAGAUAGUAGGAAUUUAAUUAGUUCUUCUUGAUGGAUAUUUAAGUUUAUGGUCUUUUUCUAGUAGUGGCAAUGAUGUGGUAACAAAAUGCUUAGGUAUUUUGCAGAGAUAAUAUAUCAAUAUGUCUCAAGGAUAAAUUUCUAGAAAUGGAAAUGUAUGUGUAUUUUAAAUUUUAAUAAUUAUUUAAAUUGUCAAGGAAAUUUCACAAUUUAUGCUUCCCUGAAAAUAUUUGAAUGACUGUAUUCUUAUACAGCCACAGUUUUCAGAGUUUUUAAUUUUUUUCAUUCUAUUCUAAUAGUGACAUAUGGGUUAUCUGAUUGUUUUAAUUUUCAUUUCUUUAAGUGUGAAUGUAUUUAUCCUAUCUUCAUAAGCCACUUUAAAAAAUGAACUCCUUAUCUAUGAUUUUUCAUACAAUGGUUUAUAUUUUCAUUAAUGAUAUAUAGCACCUUUUAGUAUAUUAAGGAGGUUAGCCUUUGGUCCUAUAUGUGGCAUAAUUCCCUCUUAGUCAUUUGUCUAUUGGUUUAUAAUGAUUUUUUUUUCCUAGCAGAAAUUUUAAUUUUUAUAUAAUCAAAUAUGUCACACUUUUUCUUUGUGACUUUUAGGUUUUAGAAAGACCUUACUUGGACCUUCCCCAUUGCAAGAUUAUAAAAAUAGAUAUACUUACUUUUUUUAAUAUUCUUUUUUGGUUGUAGAUGGACACAGUACCUUUAUUUUAUUUAUUUAUUUUUAUAUGGUGCUGAAGAUCAAACCCAGUGCUUCUCACAUGCCAGGCAAGCUCUCUACCACUGAACCACAACCCCAGCCCCUAGAUUCAUUUUCUUAUGUUUGUAGCCUUUUAAAACUAGACUUUAAUAUUUAGAACAAUUUUAGAUACAUAGUAAAACAAUGGAAAGUAUGAGAAUUUCCCAUAUACCCACAAAACAUGCUUAGCUCCCUCAUUAUCUACAUCACCCAUCAGAGUGGUACAUUUGUUAUAACUGAUAAAUCUACAUUGACACAUCAUUGUCACCUCAAACUCUGUAGUUUACAGUAAGGUCCACCCUUGGUGUUAUACAUUCUAUGGGGUUGCACAAAUUUAUAAUGACUGUAGCCACCAUUAUAGUAUCAUACAUAUUAUUUUUAUUGUCCUAAAAAUUCUUUGUAUUCUGGGGCUGGGGUUGUGGCUCAGUGGCAGAGUGCUUGUCUAGCAUGUGUGAGGCACUGGGUUCGAUGCUCAGUACCGCAUGUAAAUAAAUGAAUAAAAUAAGGGUUCAUCAACAUAUAAAAAAUUUUUUUUUAAAUUCUUUGUAUUCUGCCUCUUUAGCCUUCUCUCCUCCCAACCCCUAGAAAAUACUGAUUCUCACCCUUUCCAUAGUUUUGCCAUUUCCAGAGGUCAUAUGGGUGGAGUCAUACAGUAGGUAGCCUUUUCAGAUUGGUAUCUUUUACUUAGUGAUAGGCAUUAUGUCCUCCAUGCCUAGUUUUUUGUAGCUUGAUAAUUCAUUUCUUUUUAGCACUGAAUAGUCCAUGUACCACAGUUUGUUUAGGGCAACUUGGUUUCUUCCAAGUUUUGGUAAUAAUGAAUAAAGCUGCUGUAAACAUCUAUAGGCAGGUUUUGUGUGGACAAAGGUUUUUCAGCUCCUUUGGGAAAAUACUAAGGAGUGAGGUUUCUGGAUACUAUAAUAAGAUUAUGUUUAGUUUUUCAGGAAACCUCCAAUACGGUCUUAUAAAGUGUCUAUAUUAUGUUGCGGUCCCACCAGCAAUGAAUAAAAUCCUUGUUGCUCUACAUUUUGUUGCUUUACAGCAUUGGUACUGUAGUGUUAUUUCAUUGUUGUUUUAAUUUGCAUUGCUUUAAUCAUGCACCACAUGAGGUAGAGCAUCUUUUCAUAUACUUCCUUGUUAUUUGAAUAUCUUCUUUGGUGAAGUCUCUGUUUAGAUCAUUGGCCUAUUAUUUUUUAAUUCUUAAUCUGAUAAUUCCAUCACCUCUGCCAUAUCUGAGUCUGUUUCUGAUUCUUCUUACAGUCUUUUCGGACUGUAUUUUUUGUCUAUAGUAUGCUUGUAAUUUUUUCUUUAUAGCCACAUAUGAUAUAUUAGGUUAAAGAAACUGUUGUGAAUAGGCCUUUGAUAAUGUGAUGGUAAGUUAUGCAGGGAUAGGAAUCAUUUUAUGGUGUUUUGAUUAUGUCUCAGUCUUUUUGUGAAUCUGUGCCUUUGAACUAUGAACUUUACAGGUGCAUCUCAGUAGCCCCCACUCUUACUUGCCCUUAGGUAGAACAAGAUGGCUAGAGUGGACUGGAGUGAGACUGCUAUUUCCCUUUGUCCUGGUGGAGUAGCCAGCUAGAGUUUUUUAUUUCCUUUCACCCAGCUCAGUUAGGCUCAGAUAAUCCCAAAGGGGUUAGACUCUGGUUAGUUUUUUUUUUUUUUUGAGAGCAGAUCUUGUUAAGGAAAACAUAAGCUCUGGUGUAUUUCAAAAUGUUUCCUUUUCUACUCCCUAUGGUAUAAAUAUAAGUGGAUUUUCCUCCAUUGUUCCUGAUGACAACCUGUUAAGCUCUUAGAGGAAAAAUUCACAAAUAGUAGGUGCCCUUCUACAAUUGGAGCCACCUGGGGUUUUUGACUCAAACCUACCCACACUGAGCCUCCGGCAGCUCAUCAAUUACAGUUUAGGUAUCCUUACCCCAGCACUGGUUUCUGCUUAGGUUUUUGCUCUAGUAAAUUGUGACUCUCUGUAUUUACCUGUUUGUCUCUUCAUAUUGAGGCCUUUUAAUCUCAAGUCUCUUACAGGUCUAAGAAUUAUUAUUGAUUUUUCAGUUUGUUCAACCUUGUUUGUUGUUAGAAAGGGGUGGCUACUACCAGAUUUCUUAUGUAUGUGCCAGAUUGAAAAGUAGAAGUCCCUGGGAGUAAAAUCUGGGUAAUUAGCAUAUGUAUCAUCUCAAGCAUUUAGAAUUUGUACUGGAAACUUUCAAAACCUUUUGCUGUUUUAACAGGUCUAAUGAAUUAUUGUUAACAAUAGUUACCCUACCUGUGAGGCACUGGGUUUGAUCCUCAGCACCACAUAAAAAUAAAUAAAGGUAUUAUGUCUAUCUACAACUAAAAAAAAAUUUUUUUAAAGUACAGUGGGGUAGGAGGGAAGAAUAGAAGUUCAUUGGAUUAGACAAAGAAAAAUGAAGGAAGGUGGCGGGAUGGAAUAGGAAAGAGUAGAAUGAAACAGACAUUACUUUCCUAUGUACAUAUAUGAAUACACAACCAGUGAAACUCUACCUCAUGUUCAGCCACAAGAAUGAGAUCCUAAUUAGAAUUUGUCAAGAUACACUCUACUAUCAUGUACAUCUAAAGAACAAAUUAAAAAUCAGAAUAGGGCUGGGGAUAUAGCUCAGUUGGUAGAGUGCUUGCCUUGCAUGCACGGGGCCCUGGGUUUAAUCUCCAGCACCACACACACAAAAAAAGAAAAAAGGAAAAAAGUACAGUAUGUUCAGAAAUAACAAGUCAUUCUCGAUUAUUUAUCCUUAGCAUGUUUAGAAUUUACCUUUUGCCAUCUAAGAUUUUAGUGAACGUUGAAUAAGAAAAAUAGAAAACUUUAUAGAUUUUUUUAUAGCCUAUCAUUAAAAGGUGCUUUGAAAAUAGUUUAGGUUGGUUUAUUUAUUCACUUUUGAAUAGUUCAAAAGCAGGAUGAAAAAGCAAAGCUUGGAUGACAAACAUAAAUAUUUUAUUAGUGCUAUAAUAAAUGAGAAAUUAACUCCCCUACACACAUACUUUUGUUUCUUCUCUUCAGUCCCUAAAGCUCCAGAGAUAGACCCAGUGGAGUGUUUGGUGGCUGACAACUCUGUAACAGUAGCUUGGAGAAUGCCAGAAGAAGAUAAUAAGAUUGACCAUUUCAUACUGGAAUACAGAAAAACUAAUUUUGAUGGACUGCCACGUGUAAAGGAUGAGAGAUGUUGGGAGAUAAUUGAUAACAUUAAGGGUACUGAAUAUAUAUUAUCAGGUAAAAUGACAACAUCUCAACAGUCUCCUUAGAAAAUAACUGUAAUUAUGAAAAAUUUGUUAUUUUAAAGCUUAAAAUUAUUAAGUUCUUUUUAUCCGAGCUGAUUUUUUAGAUAUUUAUUGUAGAAGUAAAUUUGUUUUAAAAUAUCAAGAAAACCUUUGUUUUAAUUACUUAAGGACAUUUGUAACCUGCUAAGAUAGGAUACAUGUAAAAUAAAUAUGAAGCGGUAUUCUGAAAAUAAUAUUUCAAGAGUUACACUUAGUUUUCCCUUUGUUUUCAGAUUAUAUAAAAAAGCUCUUAAUUUUUUAGAUGUACUCACUACCCCACAAUUCACUGGUACUGUAAAUAUUAUCACUUUUGUUAUUUAGUUUUACUUUAAUGUUGAUAGUUAAAGUAGAACUGUGAUUUGGUUUUAGAAAUUUUUGUGUUGGCCUUUUGAAAGACGUUUUGAAAGAUAUUUCAGAAUUAUACUCCAUACUUGUACAGUUAUGUGAAAAUGAACCUCAGUAUUAUGUAUAACUAAAACAAACUAAUAAUGCAAAAAUAAUGGUUAACAAACAAACACAAAAAUAUUCCCAGUAUAGUGGGGACUUUAGAUAUUUUGGGGGCAAAACCCUUGGGAGGCUGAGGCAGUAGGAUUGUGAGUUCAAAGCCAACCUCAGCAACUUAGCAAGGCCCUAAGCACCUCAGCAAGCCCUUGUCUCUAAGUAAAAUAUAAAAAAGGCUAGGGAUGUGGCUCAAUGGUGAAGCAACCUUAGGUUCAAUCCCUGGUACCAAAACAAAAACAGCAACAACAAAAAAACACAGUGUUUCAUAAAUAUAAAAAUUCCUGAGAGCAUCUCUUUUCCAGAAAUCGAAUGUGUUGUUUUGUAAAUUUGUGACAUCUCUCAUUAUAUGAAGUACUGCUUUUCAUGACACAUAAAAGAGUACCUUUUUAUCCCUGAAUUAGGAAAAUCAUAAAUUGUAUAUUUUACUUCUUCUGAAGAAACUAAUAGGUAAAUCAUGAUUCCUCUUAUUGCAGGCAUUAUCACCAUUUUAACAUAAAUUUAUACUUUCCUUAAAUAAAGAGAUACUUCCAAGGAGGAAAAAAAAAGUCUGAAAAUUCAUUCUAAUAUUUUGGGGGAUGAGUCCUUUAUUUUGUGUCUGAAAACCAUUUCAUUUUUUCAGGCUUAAAAUUUGAUUCAAAAUAUAUGAAUUUCAGAGUGCGAGCUUGUAACAAGGCUGUGGCUGGAGAGUAUUCUGAUCCAGUGACCUUAGAGACCAAAGGUAAGAUUAGUAGCUAUUUAUACAACAUGAAACAUCUAAAGUUAUUCAAGACUUCGUGACAGGAAGCAUUGUGUGGCUGAAUUCCUUCCCCACCUCCUCUACCACCCCACCUCUGACUUUCCCCACAAUAAGAAUUAUAAGGCAGGGAAAAUAGGACUAUGGUAGUGAUUUCCAUUUAUGAUUGUAUUCAUAUGAGCAAAUAGACUCAUAGACUUGAGAUGAUAGUGUUAACAUCUAAGAACCUAAGUCAUUCUAGUCUCUCAGAGUAAUUUGGAGUUAGUGGAAACACCCUAGUAUAACAUAUUUGAACACAAAUUUUUGCAACAUUUACUAAUUUGAAGGCCAUAAUGCCAAAGUUCUUCCCAAUUGUGACAUAUAGUAAUUGACUAAACUCUGAACAUUUUUAUAGGUACUUGGAACCUGGAGCUUCCAUUGGCCUCUAGUUUAUAUGGCAUUUGAAUAGAUUUGUAUGCCAGAAAUUUGAUAUGAUUUGGAGGAUGAUAUAAAAACAUAUCAGAAUAAAACAAACUAUGAGGCUUGAAAAUUAUUUUGUGUUUUACAGUGCUGGGAAUCGAACCCAGUGUCUUACACAUUCUGGGCAAGUACUUUACUCCAGCCCCUAACGGUCCAUAAAUUACUGAUGAGACCAACUCAGAAAAAUGUCCAAAAAUAUCUUAAAAAAUAGGUGUAAUUUGAGUAGUUUGUUUGAAUUAGAAAAUGUUUUUACUUGAGAACUACAGAUAACGAAGAUAUGCAAUUACUUUGAAUUACAUGUUAUCAAACUGAGAAGUUACUGUGGUUUUUAAUGAGAUGUUUACCAAAGUAUUGUCAUACUUACAGGUAAUAAUCUUUUCUGUAUUACUUGAGCUGUUUUUAGCCCUUGUCAAAUAAAAUUGCAUUAUUAUUAUAUUCACCCUUAGGAGCAUCAUCUUUGUAUUAUUCCUUUUCAUUAUGCUUUACCAAACUUGGACAUAAACGUGGUAAAUUAUUGAUUUUUAUGCACAUUCCCUAAAUUUAGAAAUAUGAAUAGCUGGCUUAUGGCUUCCUUGGAGCUGGGCUGGCUGCUUCUCUUAGCAAUAUCUGGAUCUCACUAGUCACUCUUGACCUUGGGGUUUGUAGAGGGAGACUAAGUUGAUUAGUCCUUUGAAGCAUUUUUUACUGUUGAGAAAACCCUUUGAGGUGUGGGACCAGACUGAAACGUAUCCUUGAGGGCCACUAAUCAUUGAUUCUGAUCUUCAGGGAGUAACAGAAUAAAAUUCAUUUUACAUGGCUGUGGGUCACGGAUUUUCUGGAGUAUUUUUCACAGCAUUGGCAUGACUACAAAUUAGAACAAGAGCUCCAUAGAAGUAGUUCUACUUUUUAAAAAUUACAUAUUAAACAAUUGUUUACUAAUUUGACCUGCUGUAGUCCUUUUUGGCCAACCAAUAGAAAUAAGCCUGUGGACAAAGAUUGAAGGGAAGGGAAGAAAGAUGGAGAUUAAAUAGUUGAGGCCUAUCAAAGUUUCAUAUCCUGCCACUUAUAGUUCUUGGUAUGGAAAAUAAUGAAUGUUGUUUAUUUGUUCCUUCAGUAUAUUUGUUCUGGCAAGAAAGUUGUCAAAAGUGAUGAGUAAUAAUAUUUCUUAUGGCUAGAAUUUUAAAGAUGUGUUAUCAUUUACUUCCUUGUAAGGAUAAAUGAUAUUAUGUUAAUACAAAAUUUUCUAUAGCCUCAAAUAGUAAUGACUGUGAUAUAAUUUUAUAGUAUCAUGAAAGCAGCUACUAACAAACAUAAAACAUCUGGAUUCUGAUUUUGGUACCCUGUUUUCACAGACUUUUAAAGAUAUGGAAACCAAUAUGUUGUAUAUUACAGGGCUUAUCCAGGACACAGGAUCUCACUUUCAAAGAAGACUUUAUUUUUUAAUAAUGAAGCAUUAUUUCUUAUCUUAGAGAGGCUCUAUAACUUUACUGAGGUUCAAUAAAAGAACAAUGCCCCUCAAAUAGAAAUUAAAGAUGAUACCUCUUGGAUUGAAACCUAGACCUUCUUGUUUGUUUUUCUUUUUCUUUUGUUUGUUGUUUUUAAUUACCCAUAGCAAUAGGACUCAUUUUGACGUAAUUAUAUGCCUUCUUGUUUGGAUGCUGUGUUAUUCGAUAAGUCUGAUCACGAGUGGUUUGAAGAUAGUACUUUUUUCUUGCUAUCCUUGACUCCAGAUUGCUGAUGACCCUUUUUUUCUUCAUUAUAACAAACAUUAAGGAACAACUUUAGGAGACCUUCUUUAUCCUUAGAAUUUUAAUGAGCCCUUGGGAAUUGAUGGCACCCUCAGAGCUAAAGCCUAUUUUUCUUUCUCAAAAAAAAAAUGUAGAUAGUGCCUCGAAUGCACAAGGCCAUGGGUUCAAUCCCCAGCAACCCUCACCCUCCUGCCAAUGUAGGUAGCCUGACUUGCUUAAUAACUUAAAUAUAGAAGUUAACUUUGCUUUCUUAACGGCAGUUCAUUUUGGAAAUUGAGAGUCUCAGUGUUAAUCCUAACUUUUUAGUAACCUGCCUGUUAAGAAAUCAUUUCCAUUUUUACUGAAAAGCUUCAUUGUUUCUAGUUUCUCUAAAUUUAUUUCUGUUUAGAUGAAGGUUUUAUAAGUUAUUAACUUCCUUGUGUAGUAUGACAUUUACUAGAAACUGUGUGGUCAGUAGAUUUGUAUUGAGAAUGUGGUUUUAUAAAUAAAGACAAUGAACAAAGAACUUGAAGUGUUCUUUAUAGAGUGGAGGAUAAAAGGAUUCUUGAUUAACUAGGUAAACUUCAGGCUCUCCAUAUGCUUUUUUUGUUGUUUGGUGAUUUACACUUCACAGACACACUGAAGCCUUAGCUAAAUUAAGUAAUAUACUUAAGUGAGAUAUAUUGUAAGGAGUAUUCCUUCAAUGAAUAAUUAUCAGAUAUUUAAAUUUUGGAGGAAAAUGUAACAGAAGCAGAUUAAUAGAUAGCUUUCAAGAUAGAGCUUCUAGAAAUUACAUUUUUAAAAUAGAAGAAACUACUCAUUGUACAGCUGUUAAUACAUUUCAGUGCUUUUCCCUGAGUUCUAAAAGAGGGAAGCUUAAUGCACUGAUCUCCUAAAUUAGCAGUUUGACUAAGCAAGUCUUGUGAAUAGUACAGAUACUUCCUGAUAAUACCAAAUAAUCUGAAAGGCAUAACUUUGUUUCAUGAUUUUUUUGUUUUUUGUUUUUGUUUUAUUUUUAUAUUAGUGGAACUUUUCACCCUUCUACUCUUUGCCACAUAAAUCAUUUAUCAGCUAGAUCAAUUUUCUCACUCUGCCAGGCUACCUCCAAUUUCUUCAUACUCAUCUUAAUUUGAAACUAAGAAGUGUUUUAAGUAUGAAAUUAUUAAGUAUUAUACUGUCAGAGAAGACAUGUGUGCGCCAGACUUUUACCCUGUGAUUUUUUUACCCUGUGAUUAUAAUAUCACUUUUUCCUUCUUAAUUCCUACCAGUUCCCCUUCCUAUUUACUCAAAACAAUCAAUUGAUAACCAUCGGGUAUUCUAAUAACAGGAAAUUGAGGAUACUGUGUGUUGAUAUAGAUUCUUGUAGAACGAAUAGCAGAAAUACCAGUCCUGAACAUUGAAGGCCCUGAACAUUGCAUUGUAUUGUGUUAGAGUACGGGAUAUUUAGAGGAGAAUAAUGGAAAAUAAGUGAGGAAUUGUAAAUUAAAACCUAAUCAUUGAGAACUUUAAAUGUUAACAUUAGUAAUUUGAAUUUUAUUCUCUGUAUACAGUGUUGAAUCAAUUGACUAGAGAAGUUAUUGCUCAUAGGUGUGCUUCAGAAAGUGGAGAUAUAUAAUAUUUUAUAUUGUCUCGAACAGCACUGAAUUUCAGUUUGGAUAAUUCAUCAUCCCAUUUGAACCUGAAAGUUGAAGAUACCUUGGUAGAGUGGGAUCCUACUGGAGGAAAAGGUCAAGAAAGUAAAAUCAAAGGGAAAGAGAACAAGGGCAGGUAACGUAGCUCAUUAAAUCUGUUAUAUGGAUAAAUGCUUGUACAUUGGUUCUUAUUUGAUAACAUUAAAAUUCUUAUUCUGUAUACCAGUAUGACUUAUGAUACAUUAGUAAUUCCAAAGUGAAAAAUAUAACAUUGCUUGUCAAUACAUGAAUCUGUCAUUAACAUUUUCACAUUACUUUUUUCUUAGUUUCUUUCCUAAUCUCCUUAUACUUUUAAAAAAUUUUAUUAUCCCAUUUCCUUAAAGUUAUAUAUACGGUAACUUGAACUAAUUAGAUGUUCCUAGAAUAAUUUCUGAAUAUUGGGCUUAUCACCUAUCUCACCUAAAAGUCUGCAUUAGAUGACAACUUUUACAGUUUAUAAAAGCCCCACAGACUUGCCUGUGAUGGUGGAACCCAGUGAAUCCAAGAGUCAGGCUCAAGAAUCUUUUGUUAUUGUCAUAACUUACCUAAAUAAUGUCAAAGUUUGGGAACUUUUUUCUUUUUUUACACAGGAAGUUUUUGCUGAAGAUGAAUAUUUUUGUGAGUUCUAACAAUGAAUUUUUAAAAAAUCCUCAGCAGGCUUUUAAUCUAAUUUUAUUAUAAGAAGUUAAACUUAAUUUGUAAAGCAGUCUCUUAACAGUUGCCUAUUUUUAUCUGACAGUGUCCAUGUUACUUCACUGAAGAAACAUACAAGGUGAUGAUCUAUGUCUGUCUAGUUUUAGGACUUAGUAUAUCUAGCUUGGCUGAGUAAUUUUUUCUUUUAACCAGUAAACAGAAGCCACUGCAGCAGGCUUCAAAGCUAAAAUAUUGCUCUGUGUAGACUGUCUGUAUUUUUGUAGCUUAUGUUUUGAAUUUAUAGCAUUAUAGUGUGCUGCUUAUCAUUUGGAUUAUAUUGUAUAAAGAUAACAAAAUAAGCUUUAAAGUCUUCUUUAAUUAUUUUUUCUACUUUAUUUAUAACUGGCAUCUUUCCUAUUGUAUUGAGUUAAAUAUAUCUAACAUUAUUGCUUUGCUUUUUUUAAUAUGUUUAGUUGUUGAUGGACCUUUAUUUUAUUUAUUUAUUUAUAUGUAGGACUAAGAAUUGACCCCAGUGCCUUACACACAUGCUAGGCAAGUGCUCUACCACUGAGCUACCAUCCCAGCCCUUGUGUUUUUUUUUUAAUAUUUAUUUUUUAGGUUAGAUGGACUCAACACAAUGCCUUAUUUUAUGUGGUGCUGAGGAUCGAACCCAGGUCCCGCCUGUGUUAGGCGAGCGCUCUACCGCUGAGCCACAAUCCCAGUCCCCAGCCUUUGCUUUGCUUUUAUUUGUAUUCAACACGAAGCAAGUUUGAAAUGUUCUGUAUUUUAUAAUAAUCAUGCAGCUUCCAAAGUAUCAAGGUUAAGAAAUAAAAGUCACUGCAGAAAUUAUUAGGACAGUGUCAGAAAAAAAUGAAUAAUUUCAAAUUACAUGGUUAAUAACAUGUUUAUUGAAGAUACCGUAUAUCUUUACCAGAAACCAGAAUAUAUUCUCUUUUCAAAGUUACCUCCACUCUUCUUUUCAGUUUAUUUGUUCAUUAUUGAUAAAAGUGAUUUCACAGUGUGCUAUAAAUUAUAAAAUGCUGUUGGGUUUAAUAGUCUUACAAAGUUUUAUUUGGUUACUUGGACGAUUUUUAGACUGCUUUGUAUUUAGCAUUGCAGGUUAUAUUUCUUUCUCUCUUUUCUCCUUUUAAAAGUAUUUUAUAUGUAGGCCACUUCCGGAAUGUUAUACAGGUUCGGAUCCCUUAUUUGAAAUGCUUGGGACUCAAAAAGUGCUUUGGAUUUCAGAUUUUUUUGUAUUUUAGAAUAGUUGCAAAUACAUAAUUAAUUAUAUUUGGUGGGGACCCAAUUCUAAAUCCAGAAUUCAUUUAUGUUUCACAUAUACCUUGGUGGGGACCCAAUUCUAAAUCCAGAAUUCAUUUAUGUUUCACAUAUACCUUUAUAUAUAUAUGUACAUAGGUAAUUUUAUAUAAUAUUUUUUUAAUGUAUCUAUAUUUUGGCUGUGUCUUGUCACAUGAGCUCAGGUGUGGGAUUUUUUUAUUUGUAAUUAUGUUGGUGCUUAAAAAGUUUCCAAUGUCAGAGCAUUUCAGAUUUUUGGAUUAGAGCUGCUCAAACUACAUAUAUUCAUUUACUUUAAAAAAAAAAAAAAAACAUGGUGUCAUUAAAAAAAAAAAAACUUUUAUUUUGUUUAUUUAUUUAUUUAUUUAUUUUUAUGUGGUGCUGAGGAUCAAACUAAGUGCCUCACACGUGCUAGGCAAGUGCUCUACCACUGAGCCACAACCCCAGCCCUCUUUCAUUUUUUUAUUUUUUCAUACAUAAUUGUUCACUGUUAAAUGUGUGCUGAAUGUUAUGGAGUUUAUAGGGAUAAACACUGUUCUUGCCUCAAGAAAUUUGCUUUAACUCAUGUAGAUAAGAUUGCAGAAAAAAAGCAAGAUAAACAUCAUGUGUAAGGAUAAAUGUGAAUAAAAGGGUUCAGAGGGGAAAGAUGUCCAGAGUUCUCGGGUACUGCGGUAUUCAUUUAGGACAGUGAGCCAAACUGAAAGUCAAGCUUUUGCUGAUUUAUGGUGAUAAGUAAGAAGUCAUGAAGGAAUGAGUGGGUUCCUUCAGUGUUCCAUUUUUCCCAGCAAAUGACACUAGUUGGAGGUCCAAUGACUCAACCCAGAUCACAGUUAGAGGGUCUUCUCACUGCCAGGAGGUUCCAAAUAGAAAACUUCUGCUUUAUGGACUUGAGAGCUAAAAAGGUAGGGACAAGAGGGUUAAAAAUGGAAACAUACUAAGUGAAAGGUCCUUACCGCCUUAUUUGCUCUUAAGGAGGUCUUCCUGAAGGUAUUUAAAAAGAAUCUCAGUAUAGGGUUUCCUUCCCAUGGGGGGCCUUUGAAUAGAGUGACAAGGCUAGGAAUGCAAAUAGCUCACCGUUGGGGAAGAAGAUGAAAUUGCAACUUCCUGUAGAAAUCAUGAUGCCCUAACUAACUAUGCACCAAGUCUGGUAUAAGAAGGGCAGCCCACCCUAUCCUUUGUCCUACCCCUGCAAAUCCUGUCACAUAAAGCCUGUGUAAUUGCCUGUGAUUGAGUAUGAAAGGAUUUUGGCCUGGACUGGAUUGCUAAGAAAAGUUAUUUAGAUGGUAGGAUUUGGAAGACCUUUACUAAAUGAAUGGUAUUAAAUUGCUUCUUGGGGAAGAGGGAGAAUUUGUGGUAUUCAGCUUUGCAGUGAGAGUGGGGAACAACAAGAGGAAAAACACUUAAGCAGACUGAGUGAGUUUAAAGAACCCUUUGGUACAUUUGGUUGUGUAAUACUCUCUAGGGUGAGAAGGGUAGGAAGGCGGACUAAAUCAUUUGUAGAUAAUAUGGAAGUACAUGUUGAUUUUGAAGUAGGGGAAUAGAGCUAAGUUUAUCUUAUAAUAGUGAACAAGAUGAACUGGAUAACAGAAAGAACAUUUGGGAAACUGUAAAAUAAUUUGACCCAAGGAACCUUUAUGAAGCGAGGUGGGAGGUCAUGUUUUUACUUAAGAUGUUAAUAACUAUUGUACCUCUUGCAAAAAUGUACUUAAGAGUUGGAAUGCAGCAAUGGAAGAGUAACCCUCUAACUUUUCUCUGAAACUCAACUGCCAUUCUCAAUAGUUACGACUGUUUUUCUUUUCUCCAUGCUUCCCUUUGUUUCUUUACUACUGGUAAGUCACAAUUUUUUUUCUUAAAAAAUAUUUUUCUGGCUAUCAAGUGAGCUCUUAUAUUUUGAAGCAGUGCUAAGUAAAAAUUUUGUNCUCAUGAGGCUGAGGCAGGACUAUCUCAGGUUCAAAGCCAGCCUCAACAAUUUAGCAAGGUCUGAAGCAACUAAGUGAAAAACCCUAUCUCUAAAUAAAACAUAAAAAGGGUUGGGGAUGUGACUCAGUGGUUCAGCACCCCUGGUUCAAUCCUGGUGUCAAAAAAGGAAAGGAUUAAUUAAAACUACUUAUUUUACAUAAUUAUCAACAUUCAGAGUUGAAUUAACUUGGAAGGAGGAAGAUUAAUGUGCAAUUAAUAUUUUGGUGACUUUGUGAAUUGGGCAAUUUUUGGUGAGCUAUCCUGAAUGACUACUCAUUUUUUUCUAGAGGAGAAUUUCAUUUUAGAUAAGUGGUUUCAAUGAACUUUUGAAGAAUGAUGGUAAAUCAUACUAAACUCAUUAAACAGAUAGUCUGAAGACUUAAACGUUUUUGAUACAAUUUACAAACCAUGUUAAGCCAGUCUUAUUUUUGACCCCCUUUCUUCUUAUGUCUUUCUAUUGAUGUAUCAAAAACAGUGGUUUUUAUACUUUUUUUCCCCUUUUUGUGUACAACAGAGUGGUUUUUUCAAAUGAAAUGUUUCCAGAAGCCUGAGCUGAAAAGAGAAGAGGAUUGCUGGUUCAAGUAGGGAAGGAGCCCUAGAGCAGGUGUCUUCCAGAGUCCUAUAGCAGCCUCUGUGGCAUCUGUAUAGUUCAGGACAUGGUUUGAAAACUACCCACUUCGAAAUACUUUGUCCCCCAACAGAAGAUAAAAAUAAUGCUACAUUUAAAAGAAAAUUCAGAGGAAAUGACUGUUAUCUUUUCUCCUUAGUUCAAGAUAAAAUACUUGAAAAUACACAGACCUUUUAUAAGGUCUUUUGUGUGUGUUGGGGAGCGUAUUGGUAAUUUAAUCCAGAGUUGCUCUACCACUGAGCUACAUCUUCAGUCUUUUUUAUUUUUUGGGAUAGGAUCUAACAAAGUUGCUGGUCUUGAACUUGUGAUCCUUCUGCCUCAACCUCUGGAAUAGCUGGGAAGGUUUUUAAACAUUCUUGAUUAGCUUAUAUGAAAAGUAUCAGAAAGAAAAUUGUGAUGCAGUGUUUUUUUCUUAAUGUCAACUUAAGAUGUCAUUGACAGAAUGUAGAAUUUGAUUUCUUACUACUUAAUGACACCUCCCCCCAAAGGCAUAUACAAAUGUUUAUUUUGGAAAGUAGAUAACACAUUUAAGAGAGAAUGGGAGCAGUCUCAAAAAAGAGAUGCCUUGGGGUAAAGCAAGGAAUAUUCCUAGGGAGCAUGUGGGUUAUCUCCAGAGGGAGAGACAGCAACCCAUUAGUGUGGGCCACUCAUGUUUAUAGAGGGCAAGUGCUAGGGGAUGAACUAGAGGUGGAGCCAGAGUGGAGCUACACAGUUUUGCACCAGUUUCCCUUUGCUUGUGCAUUUCCUUAACAUGCAUGGGCCAAGGGCAUGUAGCUCAAGAUUGACAAUUGUGCUUUCUGCAUGUCAAUGGCUAGUGGGCAUUUCCUUUAAGACUCUCUCUCUUUAUCCUAAAUCCCUGUGUCCUAUGUAAUGACUUUUAAUAUUAUAUAAUAAGUAUUAUCUUAGAAAACCUGGUUAAAUCAAACUUUAAGAAAUUAAAACGUAUUUAUUCAGAAUAAUGGGUAUAAAUUUUUCUUCUUUUUUAUUUAUUUGUAUCCUCUGUUUUGGAGAAGGUCCCCAAAACACUUCUAGAUUUCUUCUACCCAUCAAAUGUUUGUUCUCUCCCUUCCCAAUAGGAAGCAACUACUAACCGCCUACCUGAGCACAAGUUUCAGAGAAAUUUUAAUCUACCUGUCCUUAACCACCUCAGUUCAUGCUGUCUGUUCAAAUAGAAUUUAUAAUUAAUUACUUAAGUAUCUUUUUAAAGAAAUAUCUUUAUAAAAAGAACUUUUAACAUCAUUUUGGAAGAAUUAAACCAACUCAUGUAAAUGCUGUAGGUAUAAAGUGCUGCUUAAUAUCAUUUACUAGAAUGUAGACAAAGUGGUCCUGAAUUCAUUGUUUAAUUCUCUGAAACUGCUUAAUAAAUCUGCUAACAUUGACAACAUUUAAGUAAUGCAUAAUGCAGUCACUUAAUCAUGUAAAAUGACUUUAAAUCGUAUCUUUAUUCUUAUUUUGCAUUUUUAUGGGAUUUUUAUUACAAUAUUAUUUGAUAGCUUAUUAAAAUUUACUAAGUUGAUUUCUCCUUAGGAAGAAAAAUUCUAAUGCAAAUAUAUUGAAAAAGUCUUAUUUUUUCUUUUUAGUAGUAAGAAUAUACAUUUCCCCUAAAUAACUUUAUCAUAAUCUUAUCCCCAAAAUUAUUGCUUUUUAAAUGCAAUGAUUUGGUAUAUUUAAAUAUUAUUUUAAAAACAUGUUCGGGCUUUAAUCUUUUUGGAGGUUUUAGAGCUAGUGAAAAGCCUAAUCCUGUCUAGUUUACCAUAAUGCAUCAUUUGAUAGAAGAGGUCAUUUUUUAAUAGCAGAAAUGCUUUAUAAUACUUGAUAAGCUUGUGCAUGGAUUUGUACAAGUGCUUUUUCUCUUUUUAAGAAGAAAAGAUCGAGAUCAAAAAUACCUACUGCUAAUAAAAAAGAUUAGUUAUGAUUAUAAGAAAUAUAGCUUUCCAUUGCUUUUUUUAUUAGUGCAUAUUAAUUUUACAACAUGAUGGGUUUCAUUGUGGUAUAUUCUUGACUUUGCUUUAUUUAAAUUUAAUUACAAAUAUAUAAGCUGUAACCCAAUUUCUUUCUUGCUUUUUUUUCUUUCAGUAAAUCUUGUCUCAUUUUGGCAUUGUUUCUCAUUUCAACUGUGUGUUCUUUGUAUAAAUCUUGCUCAGUCUGCAUGACAUUAGUGUUUUCAGCCUGCUUUGUAUUAAUGGCUUCUUACAUUUGAAUGUUUAUAAUUGGCAGUUCUCUUCAAUAAUAAUUCAAAUUAAAUGAUGCUGUUUCUGCAACAUAAUUAGAAAUAUUUUUAAACAUUAUUUUCAUAAUAUGUAAUUUUAAUUUAUGAAACAUUUCCAACAUAAAAUACUUGUUUUUCUUUUUUUUCCUAUUUAUAUAGAAGUGGUACACCAUCCCCCAAACGGACAUCCGUAGGUUCCAGGCCACCAGCAGUAAGAGGCAGCAGAGACCGUUUCACUGGGGAAUCAUACACAGUGCUAGGUAGGAUAAAACAAUAACUCUUAACAGUCUCAAAUUAAAGGCACCACAGCCACACUGAUAAAUUUUCUACUCCUCAGAGCUAGAGCAGUUUCCUGUGUAUUGAAUGAAUCUUUGCAGAGGUUUAUCCCUAUUGAAGCUUAAUUACUUGGGGGCUUUUGAAAUUUACUCAUUAGUCAUACUUUUAAAAUUCUUAUUUUAACUUACUAGUGAUUCCUAAUAUAAGCAUAACCCUUGAGAGGUUGGUAAGGAAGAAAAUUCUGAAGAAUUUUGUACUCAGGGAAAAAAAAAACUACAAAAGUAAAGUUAAGCAAGUACUCUGCAUUUAGUGUCUGUAUGUUAACAUGAUUAUUUUCAAAGAGAAAUUGAAUUUAAUUUUUUGAAUUAAAUUUGUGGAAUGAAUGAUACAUAAGAAUCUGUGUAAUUCCUGAGAAAGAGAUUAGAGUCGAGUAUCUUUCUUAUCUUUUGUAGGAGACACUGCUAUUGAAAGUGGACAACAUUAUUGGGAGGUCAAGGCCCAGAAGGACUGUAAAUCCUAUAGUGUGGGAGUAGCAUACAAAACUUUGGGGAAAUUUGACCAAUUGGGAAAGACAAACACUAGUUGGUGUAUCCAUGUCAACAACUGGCUACAAAAUACUUUUGCAGCAAAACACAAUAAUAAAGUCAAAGCUUUGGAUGUUACUGUUCCAGAGAAAAUAGGUGUAUUUUGUGAUUUUGAUGGGGGUAAGUUUACUUACUUUUUCAUAAGUCAUUUCAUCAUAACUACUUAUGUUUCAGUACUUUUCAUUGGUAAUCACCUCUACAGAAUUUCUGUUAAUAUCAUGGUAAGGACAUUUUGGCCAACUAGGUUUUGAUCACAAACAUAAUCUCAGUACUAGAGUUAGACUGGAAGGGCAUAUUAUGUCUGCCUGGAGCUCUAUAAAAGCACUCAUUUAUAAUAUGCUAAGUCUGAAAUAUUUUGCUAAUUUUAGUCUUAAACACUAAAAUUUUUCUUGUUUUUAUUCCUUCCUUACUGUUCUAUUACCCGUGUAUAAACAAUGGUGAAGUCAGAUUUUUUGAGUUGGAAUAAACCUUGGAAAUUAUCCAGUCCAUCUUCCACACAAUAUAAAAUUUGUAUUACACUAUUUCUGCAGGAGUUGCCACUUCUUUGCUCAAAUAACUUUUUAGUCUGAACAUUAUUGUCUUAGAAGUCCUGUUUCUUGGGAGGGCUCUUGAUUAGGUUUUUCUAAAAUGAACUCACUUUACCUCUCUGUAAUUUGUAAAAAUGUUGUUUUUAAAUUCUGACACCUGAAUAAACACAGAAUUAUAUUUUGUAAUUCACACAAUAAUUCUUAUUUGUUAAAAUGCAUUAAAUUGAUUUCUUUUCAAAUCCUUAUAAUCUCCUAAAGUGAUAUACUAUGUCAAUGCAUUUCUUAAAACAUUGGUUUUACAAUGUUUCUUUCCAAGUUGUCACUUUAAGCUAAUAAUGGAAAAUUUUUAUCAUUUUAAGUCACAUUGGGUCCAGACAAUCCCAUGCUGUCAACUUAAUCACUCAAAAAAGGAAAAAAAAAUUAAUUUGGGCCAAUUUAUUUUUAGUGAUGACAUGUCAGUUUGGUACAUUCUUUUUUACUUAUUCCCUUUGAAUAAGAUGAACCAUUUUCUACAGAAUGACAAAUUUACUGGUGCACUUUAAAAAAUAUAUAUUUUCAGCUACCAGGACAAUAUUUGCUUAUCAUCCUUUCUCCUUUCCCAUAUGGUUAUUUUAUAUAGAUGAUAGGGAGAAGUAAUUUUAGCUAACAGCAUAGAGUACAAAGGGGGAAGCUGUAAUGUAGGAUGUAAUCAGAUUCUGAGAGCCUUGAAAAAAUGUUUAUAGACUAGUCUUUAGUAGUGGGGAGGGUUGGCUGUGUACAUUUUAGAAAAAUAUAGUCAUGUGAUGAUAAUCUUAUAUUAGAAAUAUUAGAAAGUAAGUGAUUAAAAGACGGAAGAGAUUACAAAAAUAAAGAGCAUAAGACGUUUUAGGAGUUAGUCUAAAGUAUAAGGCAUGACCAUGUUUAUUUUGUUAACUAUUAAAUUGUUAUUGCCUGCUAAGUGCUUUUAACACAGGAAGUCCUAAUAAGUAUUUGUUAAGUGAUUGGCAACAAAAACCCAAGCAGUUGGAAAUCAAGAAUGAAAUUGAUGGUGUAAAAUUUAUAGAACUUGGUAACUAAAUAUAGAUUGGGGGAAGAGACAAAGAAGAAUGGAAGGCAGCUCUGAGGUUCCAGCCAGUGUGACAAAGAGGAUGGCAGUGUCAGUGGGUUAAGGAACAGAGAGAGUCCAGUGGAAAACUGAGAUUAUAGCAGGACAACCAUGUGACAUAUUUAGCAAACAUUUAGAAAUUCUUGAACUCAGAAGUAGAGCUGAAACUAAAUAUUUGAAGCAGCAGCACAGAGUGACUACUGAAGAUUACACAGAAUAAUAUGCUUGAACAUUAUUGCACUGUUGUUACUAACUUUGCAAUCAUGUAGGUUGCUUCAUGUUUUGAGAUAAUCAUAUAUAUAAAGCACCAAGUACUUUAACAGUAUACAUAAAUGUUAGUUUCUUUUUCUUACUCUCUGGUAGCAACUGGUUUAUUAAGAGAGCAUUUCAUAAAUGCUCUCUUAACACAGACAAAGCAGCUUUAAAGCAGAAUAGGAGGAAAAGGAAGAGAGAGAAAGUAUCUUUAGGGUUAGGAUUCAAACCAAGAAUAUAGUCAUUAAAGAAAGGCUUCGCGAACUAACAGUCCUAUGGAGGUCAUCAGAUCAGAUUAGAUAGGAGGUCAGAUGGAGUUAUUUUAAGGCAUGAUCCUGUUGAAAGACAGACUGUGAGGGGAUUUGAAAAUUAACAAAGCUGAAGCAGUGAUGAAUAUACUAUGAUUUCAGAGACUGGAGUAUGAGUCUGGCCUUAAGUAGUUAGUAUUUUAAAUAUAGUAAGCCUUAAAUAAAUAGAGGAUUUGGGUAGAGUAAAAAUAAGGAGGAAGAAACUUCCUUGUUUUUUUACUGGGCUCAUGAAAAUUUUUGUUAAAUAAUGAUAAAUAGUUUAUAGCUGAAUAAGUACAACAGUGUCAGAUUAUGGUGAAACAGUAUGGAGAUCUUAAAAACAAGGGGAAGAAGAAGAAAAUUGGAUUUGGGCAUUUUCUUAAGCACGUUCACUGAUUUUUCUAGUGAAAGUAAGUUCAAUCCUUAGAGUUUGUAAUAAAAAAUUAAUGCAAAGAUGGGCCUUAAGUUAUUAUUUUUGCAUGACUACACAUUAGACUUUAUUAGAGUUAUAAUUUCUUGUAUAAUAAAUAAAAGGCUUUUUUUCCCUCUUCCUUUUAGGUCAACUUUCUUUUUAUGAUGCAAAUUCAAAACAGCUGCUGUAUUCUUUUAAGACAAAGUUUACUCAGCCAGUACUGCCUGGUUUCAUGGUUAGUACCUAAUUUAUAUUUUAUUUAGUUUGACAACUUUAAGAAGAAUAAUCUUUAUUAUUUGGGAAGCAAACAUCCUAUUUUUUUCUUCAUAGUCAUCUCCCUUUCUCCAUUCCACUCUCUGAAAUAUGCAAUUUUUUCUGUACAAUUUUGGUAUACUUUGUUGAAGUCAAUGUUGAUAAAUAAAGGUACACAAAUCAUAAGCAUGUAGUUUAGUGAACUGUUAUAGGACUGUAUUUGCUUUUGUAACUAGACCCUAGGAUAAGAAAGAGAACAUUACCAGAAUCUCAGAAGCCCCUGUGCCCAUUUCCAGUCCCUAAUGGCUCGUCUCCAAAGUGUAACCAGUACUGUAAAUUUAAAUACCUUAAGUUCAUUUACCACUUCUUUAUAUAUAAGUGGAAUUAUAUCUUUCUGACUCCAAAUUAUAUAUGUGAGGUUUAUCCAUGUACCAUGUUGUAAUUCCUUCAUUCUCACAGUUAUAUAGCUUUCCAUUAUAUGACUAUAUAAUAAUUUACCCAUUUUAAUUUAGUUGAAUAUGUGGAUGGUUUCCAUUUGGGACUGUAUGUGUAUAUAAUUUCAGAUCUACUCAGUUACAGACUUACUUAUAUAAGAAAAAUUCAUAUUUCAUACAAAUUGAAACAUGGAUUUGAAUUCCUUAUUUUUAAGCAAAUGUUGUUGUUCCUUCCAACACCUUAACAUUCUACAUUUCUCCAUAAAGUUAGGCUACUGUGGGAAAUUCCAAGAUCCAGUUAAGGUCACCAUUACUUUGGUGAGAACUUUCCUUGAUGUGGGGACUCCCUGUAUAAAUCAGAUGAUAUAAUUCAAGUACAGGUUCUGUGGAGUGUUUUAUGUGUGUAGUCUUUCAUUACCCCUAAAUAUAAUCCCCCAAUAUGAAGAGGAAGUAUUUAGGAUAUAUAUGGGUUGAAAACACAGUGCUUUAAAUCUCAUGACAAAUAGUAUUUUUUUAUUCUAGAUACCCUAAAAUAUUAAACUUAAUGCUAACAAAGACUCCUGGUUUUUCACUGAAAUCAGAAGUAAAUAGUGAAUAAAGUUAUUGCUCAUGGAAAAAUUAUUAGAAGAUAUUAGAUGGAUUGUUUCUCUCUUUUUUAUUUUUUUGUUGCCUUUUUUUUUUUUUUUUCACUUUACUACAAAUCUCCACUGUAUUGGAUAUUUUGGGCUGUUUUUCCAAAUUGGCCAAUUAGAGACAAAUUGUUUACCAUAUGGAACUCAGAAGAGAUUUUUUUUUCAAUUCGUAGAUGUACUUUUAUAAAAGAUAUUUCACUUGUAAUAUGAAUCUAUUUCAUGUAGAUAGGUACUGAGUUUAUUCAUUGUUAUUUUCAUUCCAUAUAAGGAGACUAAUUACACAUCUGCAUCAUAAGAUGCUUUACAAAAUUAUUUUAAACUUGUUUUUUUCUUCUUUUAAGUCUUUUGUUUAUUACGUAAAUGAGUAUUAAUAUUUUCAUAUAUGAUUAAUUUUUAAAGCCAGGUUUAUGAGCUAUAAUUUAUAGUAUUGUAUAAUUCUGUGGGUUUUGACAAAUGCAAAAACAAAACCACCAUCAUGAUCAAGAUAUAAAACAUUUCAGCACUAUAGAAAAUUUCUUUAUAUUCCUUUGUAGUGGACGCCUCCCAUUACACCCAGCCCUAGUAAUACGUAAACCAUUUUUAGUCCCUGUAGUUUUGCUGUUUCCACAAAGUCAUGUAAAUGGAAUUGUAAGGUAUAUAAUCUUUUGUUUAUGUAGCAUAAUGCAUUUGAAACUCAUCCAUGUUGUUGUGUUUGUUAGCUUUUUUUUUUUUUACUGCUAAGCGGGUUUUCAUAUAUGUAUACACCACAGUUUAUUCAUUCAUUCACCAGUGGAAGGACAUUUAAGUUUUUUCCAGUUUGGGGCAAUUAUGAAUAAACGUGCAGUAAACAUUCACGUGAGGUUUUUGUGUGAACAUACAGUUUCAUUUCUCUUGGGCACAUAUCUAAUAUAUGGUAGGGUUCCUGAAUUACAUUGUAAAUGUAUGUUUAUAGAUGCAAAAAUUAUUAACAAAAUAUUGGUAAAUCACAUAGAAAAACACAUUUAAUAGAUAUUGCACCAUGAUCAAGUGGUUUUCAUCCCAGGUGUGCAAGGUUGGUUCAACAUAUGCAAAUCAAUAAAUGUAAUUCAUCACAUUAAGUAGAAUUAAGGACAAGAAUCGCAUGGUUAUCUCAAUAGAUGAAGAAAAUGUAUUUGACAAAGUCACACCCAUUCCUGUUCAAAACACUAGAGAAGCUAAGGAUAGAAGGAACUUAUCUCAACAUUGUAAUAGCUAUAUAUGACAAACCCAAGGCCAGCAUUACACUGAAUGAAGAAAAACUGAAAGCAUUUUCACUGAAAACAGGAACAAGACAAAGAUGCCCACUCUCACCACUCCUAUUCAACAUAGUUCUUGAAACUAUAGCCAGAGAAAUCAGGCAAGAGAAGGAAAUUAAAGGAAUACUAAUAGAAAAAAAAAAAAAAAAAAAGCUCAAAUUACCCCUGUUUACUUAUGACAUGAUCCUCUACUUUUUAGACCCAAAAAACUCUACCAGAAGAUUUCUAGAGCUGAUAAACACAUUUAGUAAAGUAGCAGGAUACAUAAAUCAAUCACUUUCUUAUGCUCUAAUAACGAAUCUGCUGAAAAAGAAAUUAGGAAAACUGCUCUCAUUCACAAUAACCUUUAAAAAAAAAAGUAAAAUAAAAUACUUGGGAAUUAACCUAAUGAAGGAUGUGAAGGACGUCUACAUUGAAAACUAGAACACUGAAGAAAGAAAUUUAAGAAGACUUAGAGGAUGGAAAGGCCUCCCAUGUUCUUAGAUAUGCAGAAUUAAUAUUGUCAAAAUGGCCAUACUACCAAAAGUAUUUGAUGCAAUCUCCAUCAAAAUGACAUUUUGCACAGAACUAGAAAAAGCAGUUCUAAAAUUCAUUUGGAAAAAUAAGAAACCCAGAAUAGCUAAAGUAAUCCUGAGCAAAAAAGAGUUAUGAUGGAGGUACUGCAGGCAUCAUGAUACUGGACAUCAAAUUAUACUACAGAGCUAUAUUAACAGAAACAGCAUGGUACUGGCACCAAAACAGACAUGAAGACCAAUGGAAAUGAAUAGAAAAACAGAGACAAACCCACAUAAAUACAGUUAUCUGAUGGUAGACAAAGAUGCCAAAAACAUGUUGGAGAUAAUACACACUUUUUAAUAAAUAGUGCUGGGAAAACUGGAAAUCCACAUGUAGAAGAAUGAAACUUGACCCCUCUCACCCCACACAAAUCAACUCAAAGUGGAUCAAAGACCUAGGAAUUAGACCAAAAAUUCUGCAACUACUAGAAGAAAAUGUAGGCCCAAUGCUUGAACAUGUUGGCACAGGAACCAGCUUCCUUCAUGAGACUCCUAAGGUCCAAUAAAUAAUACCAAAGAUCAAUAAGUGAGAUGGCAUCAAAUUAAAAAGCUUUUGGCUGGGAGUGGUGACACAUGCCUGUAAUCCCAGCAACUAGGGAGACAGGAGGAUUGUGAGUUCAAAGCCAGCCUUAGCAGAAGUGAGACACUAAGCAACUCAGUGAGACUCUGUCUCUAAAUAAAAACAAAAUUGGGCUGGGGAUGUGGCUCAGUGGUUGAAUGCCCCUGAGUUCAAUCCCUGGUAUAGAAAAAAGAAAAAAAAAAUUGCAUGGCAAAAGAAACAAGAGUAUGGAGAGGGCCUUGAGAAUGGGAGAAGAUCUUUGCCACGUGCUCCUCAGGUAGGACGCUAGAAUAUAUAUAAAGAACUUAGAAAACAACAUUAGGAAAAACAACACAAUAAAUUGCCGCAGUCUGGCUGGGCACAAAUGCCGCAGUCUGGCUGGGCACACAAUCACGAGCCACCACACAGCUUGUAGAUUCAAACAGCAACUCUUUAUUCCGGAACUCACACCAGCCGUCUACAAUCACGUUCUGGGGAAAUCCACGUUCUCUGCCCAAAUCCACGUCCACUGGGCUUCUAUCUCCAAAAUAUAUUGUCUGAAUCCCGUGAGAACUCAAGGGGAACUCAGGCAGCAGGAUACGCCCUAUUCCCAGCAGGAAUAAUCUUAAACCUUAAACCUGGAACCUAAACUGGGAACGCCCUAAACACGAUUAUCUUAAAACCGGGAACACCCUAAUCUGCCUUGGUCCUUGAGCAAGGUCACGUACAUUCAAUGUCACUGCAACAUGUCAGCAACAUGGGGUACGCUGGCAAGGAAAUUGUCAUACCUAUUUGGCUAAUGGCUCCCAGCAAUAAAUAGGCAAAAGAACUAAAUGGACACUUCUCAGAAGAAAUACAAAUGGUCAUAAAUAUAAGAAAAAAUGUUCAGCAUCUCUAGAAAUAGGGCAAUGCAAAUCAAAACUACAUUGGUAUUUCCUAAUGGCAGUUAAUAAUAAAUGUUGGUGAGGAUGUGGAGGGGAAAGUAUACUCUCAUUGUUGGUGUGAUUCCAAAUUAUUGCAACCACUCUCACUUCUCAGUACGUAUCCAAAAGAUGUAAGAUCAGCAUAUUAUAGGAAUGUAGCCACAUCAAUGUUUAUAGCAGCACAAUUCCAACAGCCAAGUUAUUAAGCCAACUGAGGUUCCCCUUCCAACAAAUGAAUGGAUAAAGAAAAAUAUAUAUAUAUAUAUAUACACACACACACACAAUGGAGCAUUACUAAGCCACAAAAAAGAAUGAAAUUAUGACAUUUGCUGGUAAAUGUAUGGAACUGGAGACUAUAAUGCUAAGUGAAAUAAGCCAGUCCCUCAAAGUCAAAGGUAAAAUGUUUUCUCUCAUAUUCAGAAGCCAGUCCAGAAUAAGGGAGGAAGGGAGUGGGGGAGAGAAAAGGUGAGGGAAUUCCAUCAGAAUUGAAGAAAGAUUAGUGGACUAUAUUAAGGGGAUUGAGGGGCAGGGAAGAGGGACAGGCUAAGGGAAUAACAGUGGAAUGAAUCUGAUCUAACUUUCCUAUGUACAUAUAUGAAUAUACAGUCUCACCAUCAUGCAUAUCCAUGACAUUAAUAAAAAAAAAACUAAUAGAUCAGGAGAAUAGAGGGAAGGAACAUGGGGAGGAAAGAGAAGGAGGAAAGGGCAAGUACUGAGGACUAAAUUAGAGCAAAUUAUGUUCUUUUAUAAUUAUUUCAAAAUGAAUCUUAAUAUUACAUAUAAUAAAAAGAACCAAUAAAAAUUCUUUUUCCUUAAAAGCUUUGUAAAAAGCUACCAAAAUGUUUGCCACGGUGGCUGUACCAUUUUUGCAUUACAACAGCCAUGUUUAAGUUUUUCAUAUCCUUGUAUCAUUUGGUAUUGUCAAAUUUUUCUUACUGUCCACAAGCCAUUUUCUUACUGUCCAUAAGCCAUAUAUAGUGGGUUUUUUAUCCUGUUGUUAUUUGCAUUUUCCUACUGACAAAUUAUGUUGAGCAUAUCUUUUCAUGCACUUAUUUUCCACUUGCAUAAUUUCUCUGGUGAAGUAUGUGUUACAAUUCUCUACUCACUUUUCUUGGGAUAUUAAUUUGUUUUCUUAUUGUUUUAAGAGUUCUUUAUAAAUUUUGGGUAUAAAUGCAAAAAUUUUUGCAGAUGUUACCUCCCAGUUCAUAGCUUGACUUUUCAUUUUAUAGACAUUUCCAAAGUGAAGUUUUUUAUUUUCAGAUGAAGUCCAAUUUAUCCAUUUUUUUCCCAUUUGUGGAUAAUGCUUUGCUUAUACGUACCUAUACAUAUGCAUGGCAUACAGGUCACAAAGAUUUUCUCUUGUAUUUCUUCCUAAAGUUUUACAGUUUUAGGUUCUCUUUUUAGGUCUAUGAUCCAUUUUUAGUUAGCUUUUGUAUAGUAUAGUUGGAGUUUCAUGUUCUCUGUAUAUUGAUAUCCAGUUCUUCUAGUACCAUUUGUUGAAAAAGAUUUUAACUUUCUCAUUAUCACCUUUGUGCUAUUUUGAUUAAAUAUUUUUCUAAGUCAAUUAAAUAACUUUUAAAAGGUAACCUAUAAAUUUUAUAAUUUGAGGAUUGAUUUGUGUUUUGGGAGUUUAUCAUUACUGAGCCUGCUAGUUUUAAAAAUUUAGAAUGUUAAUUGUAUUAGUUAUAAAUUUUACAGAGCAGUAGAUUCUUUGGUUAAAUACGCUGUGUAGUAAAUACUGAAUGAUACAGGAUAUAAUUGAGAGUGAAUAUACAUAAAGAACUUGAAUUUUCCUUGCACAAACUAAUGAUAAUUUAGAUGGUCCAUAUGUUCAUAUUUUAAGCAUCUUGACUUUUUCAAAUCUUUUUUACUUUAUCAAAUCAGUAUUUUUUCACAUGCAAAGCAGUUAUAUCUUUCAUAAAUUCAUUCAUAUUUUUCAUAAUUAAUAGAACAUGGCAAGUACAUAUGGAUGUUGUCAUUUGCAGUUUUCUUAGAAGUCCUUCUCAAAAAAUUAUUCAAGUUCUUAUUGUUAAAAACACAGGGAAGAAAUCAAAUGGUUUUUAUUCUGUUAACACAGGGUUGUUAGAUUCCUAUGGUAACAUCAAAACCAAAAGCAAUGAUUGGAAUAGGGAAGUUGAUUCUUUGUACACUUUCCUUGGUUGUGAAGGUUAACAUCAGUAAUGAUAGCCAGUUUCUUUUGCACAGAUUGAUCCAGUUCAGUUUCUCAAUUUCUGCAGCCCUGAGUUUCCACUCUUGGGUUCAGCUUUGUUGGCUUCAGCUACCACAAAGACUUCCUUUUGGCCUUUGCAGCUUUAAAAGAAUACUGAGCCUCUCUACUUCCCCUCAGCUCAAAUAUGAAGGUUAUCAAUUUGGGAUCUGUCAAUUUUCAUAUGCAUGGCAUUUGCCUUUCAAAUAGAAAUUUAAGAAUCAUUUAAUUUCUUAAAAAAAAAAGAAUCAUUGAAUUUCUGAUUUGAGUUGAAAUCUGACUUGAGAUUUGUUUUUGUCUUUUCUUAGGUUUGGUGUGGUGGACUUUCUUUGAGUACUGGGAUGCAGGUUCCAAGUGCUGUGAGAACACUUCAGAAAAGUGAAAAUGGAAUGACUGGUUCAGCCAGCAGCCUGAACAAUGUUACUCAGUAACGCCUAUGCAGAAUGUUUACCCUCCCUCUUGACUGGGUGGCCUUUUCUGUGCAGUUACCUAUCACAGAAAUUUGUGAGUGGUGGAAAUCAGGUUUGCUAUGUUCUGCUUUAAGGCCUGGAAUCUCUUAGCUUAAGCAUCUAGUAUGAAGCAUUUACAGGAAUCUACUGUGCAAUAUCAUAGAAGCAAGCAGUUCUGGAGCAAGAAACUGAUGUUUUGAAGAGUAAAUAGGAAAGAAGGCAGUGUUUAAAUAUUUAUAUAGAAACUCGUUUUUGUGUUUCUUUAAUUACUUUUGUUCUUUUAAAAUGUUUAAUUACAUUUGGUAAUCCUAGGGCCUGAAGUGAAAGGCUUUAAAAAUUUGCUUUUCUUUCUUGACUUUCUUUUUUCCUAUCUCAUCACUACCUGUUAUUUAGUAUACACUAAAUCUUUAAAAUUACAUAGCCCCAGCCCCACCAAGGUUUUCUAAAAAUUGAAAUCAUUGAUUGGGGACAGUAGAAGUUUGUUUUUUUUUUUUUUUCUUACAAUGGUGUAUUUCCCCCUUUUAUAAAUAAGUUGAGUUUUGCUAAAUUAACCUAUUUACUGACUAGUUUUUAUCUCAUCUUCUACUUUCCAGAAUAUAUUGGUAUUUCUCUUGUAGUUAUAACUCCAAAUACAGAGUGAAUAUGAAGAAUUUAAAAAGCUUAAAAUCACCCAGAUUUCAGUUUUGUAUCUGCUAUAGUAACACAAUGGCAAAGGGUUUGCUCUGACUACUUUGCAUUCCAUCACUUUGAAUGUUCAGCAAGAUUUUUAAAAGCCUUAUGUUUUCUGGUAUUGUUGUCUACUUUAACCCUACCUUUAGUAGUUAUCUUUGAUAAAAUUCCCCACUCAUAUUUGGCACUGAUUGUAAUUAUACUCAUUUUUUUAAAAAAAUUAAUAGGAAUGAAAAAAUUUUUAACAUGGUUAAGGGUAGAAUACCAAAGGGAUGUACCUAAAAGUAUUCUUUAGUAAUUAUUUAUUCUUUUUAAUAAGAUGUAGGAAAGGUUGAAACAACUGGAAAAAAAUCUACAUAUCUCUGACUUAAUUGGUGUGUUUUUCAACCAACCAUUCAGAGGUUUUGGGGGUUUUUACCCCCUUAUCCUUUUUGCUAAAGUCAUAUGCUUUUUAAAGGGGUAUAAUUCUUCUAAAAAUCAACAUAGUCAUGUUUCCCAGCCUUGGGAGUGGUAUAUUUAAAUUUAAACAAUGAGUGGUAUUGAACAGAACAAAUCUAUUCUUAAAAAAUUGAUCAAAGUUUGUUACUCAAGUCCUUUGAGCUAAACUAAAAGUUAUAAUUACAGUAUUUAAGAUUUCCUUGAGCAUUUUAAAGAAAUUAAAAUUUAUAUUUUACUUAGUUUUUAAUUUCUUUUAUUCUUUCAUUCUCAUUUUAAAUAUCUUGUAAUAUGACAGCCUUCUUCUGUACCUUUGUUGCUUACAUUUGAGUUGUUUUCUAUAAAAAGACCUGCCCUCUUAAAAUUUACUGCUUACGAUAUGAUGUUUUGUUUCAUUGAUAAAAACAGAUGUAAAUGAGGACUUAUAUUUGACCUGGGGUAUUAUUUUCUUUUCUAGAGGACAGAUAUCCACACUAUUAUCUAAUAAUAGGUUGGUAAUUUUAAAGACUGUAAGGCAGUUAAGGGAAUAAAGUAUGUCAAUAGAUAGUCUUGAGUCUCCAAGUAUAAUUUUGGUUUUUGUUUGUUGUAUUUGGAAAGAAAUUUUUGGAAAGUUCUAUUCCCUAUAGAAGGGCUAUUCUAAGACCCAAGGAAACAGGAAUUUAUUUCCUUUCACACUCCAAAGCAGUAAUUUAGUGGAGUGGCUUUGUGUGAAAAGCUGUACACAGUAUAUUUUAGCAAAUACAAAACAAAAAAACCCAGAUGUUCUUGUAUAGAAUUUUUUUUACUAUUAUGUAUUAUAUAAUUGUCUUCUCAUUAAUUCAGUGCCUUUUUCCUCUAAGCAUGCUCUUUCUUCAUGCCUCAUGCAGUGUCAACUGAUAUUUAAGCCAGACAUAUUACAGUUGUGAGAGCCUUCUGUUGCAAGGGCAUGGGAAAAAUGAAAUAUUAAUUGGGCUGAAAGAGUGCAUACAAUUCUUUUUUGUGUUCUGCCAUCAUUUGGAAUUUGCAUAUAAAUUUUCUAACACUCAUUUGCAAAAUGUUCUAAUUUCAUUGGGAAUUAAUUACUAGCAGCUUUGUAGUAAUAAAUUCAGUAAAUCUGGAGUCCAAGCUCACAUCACAUGUAAUACUUGAUAUUAAAUUAUACCAUCAUUACAUCAAAAUUAGAAUCUGAAGGCUCCCUCUCUGCUGCUGCUUCAGGGUCUCUAAAUUAAGAGCAAAAUGUGAAGUGUUUUAGUUUAACAAUUUUAAGUUGGAUGAAAAAGUCUGUCAUCCUCAUUUUUAAACUAAAAAAUAAUUGAAUAUAGUGCCUAUUUAAAUAAUCUCAAAUAAGGUAACUAUUAACUUGAUAAUAUUUAACAUUUUCAUUGAUGUUUUGAGUUAUAAUGAGCUCUCUUGCUCAAUUCAUUAUGGAAAGUUGCUAAACACUUUUAAAUAUCCUUUAUUGCUUUAUUUACCUUUUGUUUUGACAGGUCAAACAUGACUGCUUUCUAUAAAAGAAAUGCAUGAGAAGUUGACUAUCGUAGGUGCAAAAAUUAUGUUUUAUAAAAAUAUGCAUUAGUAUUGCAUUUCCCUCUUACCAGUUGAAUUCCAAGCCAGUUGUAUUAAACUGGAUAUAGAAAUGAAGGAGCUGCCUUAAGCACUUUAGAAAAGGAAAUUUUCUACAAUUCAUUUUGACACUUGCAGCUUACCAUGUCACAUACAUCUUUAACUUUGGUAAAUAUGUAUAUACCAAGCAUUUAAUAAUAAUGCACAUAGAAAUUUAAUAUACAGUAAUUAUUUGAAUGUUCCAGGUAUAGGUGAAUAAAUUUACAGUAUUAGGGGCAUAUCUUGUCUGUACAUGGGUUUAAUUAUUGGCAUCUGUACCAUUUGACAAACCAUUAACUACUGCUAUACAGCUUACCUUGUUCUGCAAAUAGUAACCAUUCCCUGUGUUAUAUAAAGUGACAUAUUAACUUGCAUUUAUUUUCUCAUUUAUGAAAUUAAAGCAUGAAUAAUAUCAUGUAUAAUUUGAACUGUGAUCCUUGGUGGUAUAAAUAAUAAAAGUAAAUAUUUGUGAUAAAAUCUUUUAAUUAGGCUAAGAUAUUGUUUCAUGACUUACUUAGAAUAAUUAGGUUUUUUUAUGUUUCCAUAAAAUUUUUGUUAUUUGUAUAUUAUUAUUUCUUUUAAAAACAAUUUUGGAAAAGGAUAUAUGUUAAAAAUGAUUAUUCCUCAAAGAGUUUUAAAAGAAAGUAUAACAUCUUAUUAUGAAAUAUGUGAUUCUGGGGUUUAAAAAUUUGGCAAUUUUCAAAUCAUCAUAAUUUCUUAAAGAAUGUAUUUAUUAGAUCUGUGUUCAUUGAUAGGCUAAUUCAUAAAACAAAUAUUUGAGUGUCUGUGAUAUGGCAGUGAAAAUUUUAUUACUUUGCAUUCACAUUUUCAAAACUAGUGUAUUCAAUUUAUUGUGCAGCUAGUUUUGCUUCUUUUUAGUAUGCUGAGACUGCAUUUUAAAAAUAAUGUUUUGUUAAAAAGUCAGAAGUGUUAAAAAGUAAAUUUGUUAGUUUUUAAAAAGCUCAAAUUAACUGCGUAUAAUAUGGUUCACUUUUAUGUAAUCACAUAACAUAGGUUCAGCAAAGCUUAUUUCUUGAGUUUAUUUUUACUAGAUAUAGUCUUUCAGAGAAGUGUAUGGUCACUCUGUAUACAGGUAACCAUAAAAUUAUUUGUUAUUUUUAACCAAAACGUACAUUUCAUAAUGCCAGCACUGGAGUAUUAUAAAGAUCAUGUUUUCUUAGCCAUCAUAGCAAGAUUACCUCAUGUUCAUAGUAGUUUUAGUGGGUUUUUUUUUUUACAGUAUUUACAUUUCUGCAAUUAUGUGUGAUUUUUAAUGUCACAUAUGAUAGCACUGUUACCUGGAAUAUAUGAUUAACCUACAUAAACAUUUUUAAUUGGUUUUGGACAUGUCAUAUAAAGGUUAGUACUGGCUUAAUAAACAGAUACCAGAAAUUGCCACCGUACUUUUCUCCUUGGACUACCCAAUUAUUAAGCUAAAAGUAUUUGUUAUUUUGGGGUCAGUAUAGGGUACUGACUUUUGAUUCAUAAUCUUUUAAGUUAUAUUUGUUUAAGGUGAUAUGUUUUCUUAAUAAUACCCAGUCAAUAUAUGUUAGUCCUUAGGAAUGGAUGUAUAGAGGAUUUCACAGUAAUGUAGGGCAGAAGGUAGGUGAACGUGUUUGCUUUGGCUUGGCACUUAUUAAGUUUGGACUAAUUUAAAAUAAGUCAAAUUGUAAGUGAUUGGCAAAAGCCAUUUUAUUAAUAUUGGAACUUUUUGGAGAGCACAGAACAAUGAGAAUCCAUCUUUUAAAAACAUAUAUAAAACAUUUCUGAUAUCUCUAAGGUACCAAAGCACUGAGUCUAAUUCACCUAAUCUAAGGGAGACUCUUUAAAAUCAAAUUUAUAACUAAUUCAUACUAUAAGAUACAUAAUAGCUAAAGUUUUAGAGUAAUAUAAUUUAUAUUAAAAACCACUAGUCUUUAAAAUACCUAUAUGUGAUAUUAAGAUGAUUUUGGCAUCUUUUUCAAAAGUAUUCAAAAUUUAUCACCUUAGCUUUGUCAUAUACUAGGUCUGUGACAAUUGUGUAAAUCACUCAUCACCUUUGGGCCUCUGUUGCCUUACUUAACUCAUUAUGUCUCAAUUUCCCAAAUAUAAGACACCUAUAAAAACCUAUAAAAUUGCUCAAUUUAAGUUUUUAUAGGUGUCCUAUACAUAGGAGGAGACAGUGGGUUAAAAUAAUUGUAACUUGUUCAGCCUACCUCACAGGGCUGUUGUGAGGAAUAAAUGGAUGGAGUAUGUGAAAUUGCUUCAACAACAGCAAAGUGCUAUGUAAAUGUAAGCUGUUAUUUUUAGUUAAUGGAUUUAAGUGUUCGGAUACUUCUAAAUGCCAUUUACUUUGAUAAAGCAUGUUCUUAAAGUGGUAUCAUCAUUGAUUUUAAAUGUGAUUUUUAAAAUAAAACCUUUUAUCAAGAUGUCAUAUAAUAUUAAUUUAGUUUGUGCAUUACUUGUGGCCUUUUAAUAUUUUCUUAUCUAUUUUAAGACUUUUUAGAGUAGUAAAAGUUCUUCCAUGGCAUUAGUGUAUCAGUGUAGAAGUAUAGCAUAAAGAAACAGUUUUUAAGCAAGCUGCUACUUUUCCAUACAGGAAUUUGAACUUUCAGCUUAAGACUACUCAGUGCCAUGUGCAAAGAGUGAAUUUGGCCUGAAUAACUUUUUUUCCAAACAACUAAAUGGUUCAGGAGUUUGUGUGCUCAGUGAACAUUUGACAACAGUAUUGCAUUGUCCUUUUUAAAAAACAAGAUGCAUUUCAAAACCUUGUAGUAAACCUAAAUAUCAUUUAUUAUCUCACAUACUUAUUUUGCUUUAAAUUAGAUUUAUUAAUGGGGAUUUUUACAAGUUAUGUUAAUCUACAAAUUUCAUAUGUCUAUUAUCUGGACAUGGUUUCACUAUGCAGUAAUAAAAAUUCUAAUUCCUCAGGUUUAACCUUUAAGUUAUGGAUGAAGAACAUUAAUAAACCACAUAUAUGCUCAGUUCUGCAACACUGAGUUAAUGAACAUAUUGCCUCAUUUUCCUUAGAAACAACACAAAGCUUUAAAAUGGUUGUCUUUAAAAUAGAGUAUUUGAAGUGUAGUAACUUGUAUGUUUAAGUAAUAGUAUGUUGUGUAUAGAAUAUCCUAGUUAAGUUUUUACAAAAGCACUUGGAAUAUCUCAUCUAAAAAUUAAACAUUUUUCUCUUUCUUUUGCUUCAGUGCUUGA
rnacentral:lncRNA from 1 species